UGUGUGUGGAGCUCUGCCCUGUUGGGAUCCCCUUAAUAUUCUUGCACUGAGCUCCAGCUCCAAUGUGAAUUUGAGCCCAUUCAUUCAGGUGGCUAGGCACCUAGGGUGAGGGCCCUCCACCUUUUUGGCAUGUGAGUUUGACACAGGGUAACAAUAGGCUGCACUGAAUUGUAGUGAGGAUUGUGGUGCGUGUGUGCUGUGCUGUGCUUCACCAAGGUAAAUUAUCAAGUUUUGCCUUUCUUUCCUGUGAUUUUAAUAAACUUUUGAACUUAUUUU